UGACCGUUUCAUUCUUUCGGAAUCCGAACAUUAACGAUCAAGCAUUUAGGUCACCCAGGAUGGGAGCCAGGACGGCCUAGUGAAAGGAGCAGAGGGCUUCAGUUAUCCAGGUGUCAACCAGAGGAGUAUCACCGACAGAAAAAUCAUGUUCCAUGGUGGCCAGACUAUCAUUCCUCCUUGACGGAUUACCAUUAACAUCAGAAAUAAACCUGCUGGGUUUCCUGUCAUCCACUAAUGGAAAAAUAAAGAAAAUAGUGAAACAUC